rnacentral:rRNA from 1 species
UACGGGAGGCAGCAGUGGGGAAUAUUGCACAAUGGGCGAAAGCCUGAUGCAGCUAUGCCGCGUGUAUGAAGAAGGCCUUAGGGUUGUAAAGUACUUUCAUCGGGGAGGAAAAAACAAAACUAAUAAUUUUAUUUCUUGACGUUACCCGAAAAAGAAGCACCGGCUAACUCCGUGCCAGCAGCCGCGGUAAUACGGAGGGUGCUAGCGUUAAUCAGAAUUACUGGGCGUAAAGAGCACGUAGGUGGUUUUUUAAGUCAGAUGUGAAAUCCCUGGGCUUAACCUAGGAACUGCAUUUUGAAACUGAAAUACUAGAGUAUCGUAGAGGGAGGUAGAAUUCUAGGUGUAGCGGUGAAAUGCGUAGAUAUCUGGAGGAAUACCUGUGGCGAAAGCGGCCUCCUAAACGAAUACUGACACUGAGGGUGCGAAAGCGUGGGGAGCAAACAGGGAUUAGAUACC